rnacentral:tRNA from 1 species
UGCGGUGUCGACUAGCUGGCCAAGGUCAUGGGUCUCAUAAAUCCAAACUCCCACAAGGAGUUCGAUGGUUCAAAUCCAUCCACCGCUA